AUUGAACGCUGGCGGCAUGCCUAACACAUGCAAGUCGAACGAGUCGCGGACGGGUGUGUAAUAUCUGGGAACGUGCCCCUUGGCGGGGGAUACCUUCUCGAAAGAUUGGCUAAUACCGCAUACUAUUGGUUCUGCCGAUAUCGGCUUAGCUUGUUGGUGGGGUAAAGGCUCACCAAGGCAACGACCCCUAGCUGGUCUGAGAGGACGACCAGCCACACUGGAACUGAGACACGGCCCAGACUCCAACGGGAGGCAGCAGUGGGGAAUGUUGGACAAUGGGGGAAACCCUGAUGCAGCCAUGCCGCGUGUAUGAGGAAGGCCUUCGGGUUGUAAAGUACUUUCGGCGGGGAGGCGUUACCUGCAGAAGAAGCACCGGCUAACUACGUGCCAGCAGCCGCGGUAAUAC
rnacentral:rRNA from 1 species